rnacentral:ncRNA from 1 species
GGAAUCGCUAUGAUGGGUUGCAGUAAAUCCUAGAAUUCUGCUUUCAGAGAGCUGACGGUUGGUGAGAGUCAGUACAGACCUAGAGAUUGAAUUACGUCCUUGAGCUUCUUCUGUGAAAGCAGAAGACGGUGUAACGCCGUUAUCUUAACUGAGUUGGCAACUAUGUUGCAACAAGGGUGGUACCGCGAGAAGACCUCGUCCCUUUA